rnacentral:rRNA from 1 species
UGCCAGCCGCCGCGGUAAUACGAGGGGUGCAAGCGUUAAUCGGAAUUACUGGCGUAAAGCGUGCGUAGGCGGUUUGUUAAGCAAGAUGUGAAAGCCCCGGGCUCAACCUGGGAACUGCAUUUUGAACUGGCAGGCUAGAGUACUGUAGAGGGUGGUGGAAUUUCCAGUGUAGCGGUGAAAUGCGUAGAGAUUGGAAGGAACAUCAGUGGCGAAGGCGGCCACCUGGACAGAUACUGACGCUCAGACACGAAGGCUAGGGUAGCGAAAGGGAUUAGAUAC